AUUGAACGCUGGCGGCAGGCCUAACACAUGCAAGUCGAGCGGAUGAAGGGAGCUUGCUCCUGGAUUCAGCGGCGGACGGGUGAGUAAUGCCUAGGAAUCUGCCUGGUAGUGGGGGAUAACGUCCGGAAACGGGCGCUAAUACCGCAUACGUCCUGAGGGAGAAAGUGGGGGAUCUUCGGCCCUCACGCUAUCAGAUGAGCCUAGGUCGGAUUAGCUAGUUGGUGGGGUAAAGGCCUACCAAGGCGACGAUCCGUAACUGGUCUGAGAGGAUGAUCAGUCACACUGGAACUGAGACACGGUCCAGACUCCUACGGGAGGCAGCAGUGGGGAAUAUUGGACAAUGGGCGAAAGCCUGAUCCAGCCAUGCCGCGUGUGUGAAGAAGGUCUUCGGAUUGUAAAGCACUUUAAGUUGGGAGGAAGGGCAGUAAGUUAAUACCUUGCUGUUUUGACGUUACCAACAGAAUAAGCACCGGCUAACUCCGUG
rnacentral:rRNA from 1 species